rnacentral:rRNA from 1 species
AGGACUUGAUAGGCUUUCGACUUGAAGGACUUGAAUGCGCUACGCGCGUUAGUGGCGGACUGGUGAGUAACGCGUAGGAACCUGCCUCGAAGUGGGGAAUAACUGGCCGAAAGGUCGGCUAAUACCGCAUGUGCCCAGCACCUUUUACAGGUUGUUGGUAAGGGACUUUUGCAACGUGGCAAAGGUGCUGGGUAAAGCUUUAUGCGCUUCGAGAGGGGCCUGCGUCCGAUUAGCUUGUUGGUAGGGUAAAAGCCUACCAAGGCGACGAUCGGUAGCUGGAUCGAGAGGUUGACCAGCCACAACGGGACUGAGAUAUGGCCCGUACUCCUACGGGAGGCAGCAGCAAGGAAUCUUUCACAAUGGGCGAAAGCCUGAUGGAGCAAUGCCGCGUGCAGGAUGACGGCCUUCGGGUUGUAAACUGCUUUUAUUUGGGACGAUUAUGACGGUACCAAAUGAAUAAGGAUCGGCUAACUACGUGCCAGCAGCCGCGGUAAUACGUAGGAUCCAAGCGUUAUCCGGAAUUACUGGGCGUAAAGAGUUCGUAGGUGGCCUUUUAAGUCAUUCUGUAAAACCUGGCGGCUUAACCGCCAGACGCAGGUGAUACUGGGAGGCUCGAGGAAGGCAGAGGUGCGUGGAAUUGGCAGUGUAGGAGUGAAAUCCGUAGAUAUUGCCAGGAACACCAAUGGCGAAGGCAGCGCACUGGGCCUCUCCUGACACUGAGGAACGAAAGCGUGGGGAGCGAACGGGAUUAGAUACCCCGGUAGUCCACGCCGUAAACGAUGAGUGCUAGCUUUUUGAAGUUUCGACCCUUUGAGAAGCGAAGUUAACACGUUAAGCACUCCGCCUGGGGAGUACGGCCGCAAGGUUAAAACUCAAAGGAAUUGACGGGGGUCCGCACAAGCAGUGGAGCAUGUGGUUUAAUUCGACGGUACGCGAAGAACCUUACCAGGGUUUGACAUCCUAGGAAGUCCGCCGAAAGGUGGAUGUGCCUUCGGGAACCUAGUGACAGGUGUUGCAUGGCUGUCGUCAGCUCGUGUUGUGAAAUGUUGGGUUAAGUCCCGCAACGAGCGCAACCCUUAUCGUAUGUUACCAAUCAUACGAGACUGCCCGGGUCAACCGGGAGGAAGGUGGGGAUGAUGUCAAGUCAGCAUGACCCUUACACCCUGGGCUACACACGUGCUACAAUGGCCGGUACAACGCGUCUUGCGAAGGAGCGAUCUGGAGCUAAUCGUAUCAAAGCCGGUCUCAGUUCGGAUUGGAGGCUGCAACUCGCCUCCAUGAAGUCGGAAUUGCUAGUAACUGCUGGUCAGCAUACAGCGGUGAAUACGUUCCCGGACCUUGUACACACCGCCCGUCAAGUCACGAAAGUUAGGGGUACCCGAAGCGCCCCGCACCUUUUUUGACCAUAAUAACUUGGUCAUAAAUGUUAAU